rnacentral:rRNA from 1 species
UGAGGAAUAUUGGUCAAUGGGCGAGAGCCUGAACCAGCCAAAUCGCGUGAAGGAAGACUGCCUUAUGGGUUGUAAACUUCUUUUAUACAGGAAUAAAAAAGGGGACGUGUCCCUUAUUGCAUGUACUGUAUGAAUAAGCAUCGGCUAACUCCGUGCCAGCAGCCGCGGUAAUACGGAGGAUGCGAGCGUUAUCCGGAUUUAUUGGGUUUAAAGGGUGCGCAGGCGGGCUUUUAAGUCAGCGGUGAAAUCUCGGGGCUUAACUCCGAAACUGCCGUUGAAACUGGGAGUCUUGAGUAUGGAUGAAGUAGGCGGAAUUCGUUGUGUAGCGGUGACAUGCUUAGAUAUAACGAGGAACUCCGAUUGCGUAGGCAGCUUACUAAGCCAUAACUGACGCUCAAGCACGAAAGCGUGGGGAUCAAACGGGAUUAGAUACCCUGGUAGUCCACGCCGUAAACGAUGAUUACUAGUUGUAUGCGAUAUACCGUAUGUGACUAAGCGAAAGCGAUAAGUAAUCCACCUGGGGAGUACGCCGGCAACGGUGAAACUCAAAUGAAUUGACGGGGUCAUAGCUG